GAUGAACGCUAGCGGCAGGCUUAAUACAUGCAAGUCGUGGGGCAGCAUGAGUAGCAAUACUUGAUGGCGACCGGCAAACGGGUGAGGAACACGUACACAACCUUCCUUCAAGCGGGGAAUAGCCCAGAGAAAUUUGGAUUAAUACCCCAUAAUAUAUUUGAUAAGGCAUCUUAUUAAUAUUAAAGCUUCGGCACUUGAUGAUGGGUGUGCGGCUGAUUAGAUAGUUGGCGGGGUAACGGCCCACCAAGUCUACGAUCAGUAGCUGAUGUGAGAGCAUGAUCAGCCACACGGGCACUGAGACACGGGCCCGACUCCUACGGGAGGCAGCAGUAAGGAAUAUUGGACAAUGGACGAAAGUCUGAUCCAGCCAUGCCGCGUGAAGGAUUAAGGUCCUCUGGAUU
rnacentral:rRNA from 1 species